rnacentral:sRNA from 1 species
CACAACUACAUACCUUUGCUGUUACAGCAUGAAAGCAGCCAUAGACAAUAUAUAAAUAAGUGAGUGUGGCAGUGUUCUAAUGAAACCUUAGGUACAAAAACAGUGGUUGUUGUCUUAACGGUGGGGUUUUACUGUUUUGACGUUUUAACUCAUAAAUACAGUUUGCUGUAUGGAACAUGUUAAGAUUUUACAGUGUCAAAUCCAUUUAGAAUGACCUUUCCAGAAACUUAGCUGUAUUUAUUGUUUUAGAACAGGAGUUGGCAGCCUUUCAGAAAUGAUUUGCCAAAAUUAUGGCCUCUAUCCUUCUAGCAUUACAUUUUGGGUAUAGGAAAUUUGAUACACAAGUUGACUUUUUUCUACUUCUAAUAGGGUCUGAAGGCCUUGAAAAUAUCUUUUCCCAAAACUGGUUUCGUUAUAUUGUCAGAAGAAUCUCACUUUGUCACAUAAGCAGAAAUCCUAAGAUUCAAAUGAUUCUUAAUCAUCUUUUAUAAAAAUUGAAAUGUCCUUAGGAAUGUUAAAGGAAUGAGAUUGAAUAUUUAUACCUUCAACUGAAUUACCUGAAACAGAUUGCAGCCCUCAUUAUACCAGGCUGAAAUCAGCACACAAGGGGAUGAUAUUGACGCAAAGGGAACCAUGCCAAGAAGUGCUUUGAAGGUUUUAUUGUUGUUUUGAAGGGAAUGGGGUGAGGAAGGUAGGGGGAAGGGAGUCCUGAGAAGAAUAUAGAUGAAAGAGGGCUCUCUUUGAUUAGCCAGAGGGCAACAUAAGAAUUGGAGACCAUGGGAAAGGAACUCUGGGGUGCCUUCCUGCUUCUCCUGUGAGUUAAGCUUUGACUUCUUAUAAAUGUUGUUUCAUACCUCUUCUGGACAGGCUCCUAAUUACUGGGAGACAAGAGAGCAAGGUAGUUGUGUCAUUGAUGCUCACAAGUAGUGAGAAGUAAAAAAAAUAAUAAUAAUAAUUGUCAUUAAAAAUUGGUCACCUGUCAUCUUUUGCAAAAUUUUUAACAGAUGCCAACCCCUGUUCUGGAGGUUCCUUAAUACCAGAAUUCAAGAAUCCAAAUUUUUAGAUGUUACUUACCUCAAUCCUUCGGUUUCAAAGGAGAAUCGCUUAUUUUAAAAUUAACAUUUAAACAUUAUAUAUCGCUUAAAUAACUGAAUUACAUAACCAGUUUAUAUCUUAUUUCAUUUGCAGGUAAAAGUGGUUUUUCUUUCUUGUUUUUAUCCAUUCUUGCAGCUUUAACAGUUACAUAUCAAUAGGUCUAUAUAGUUGUGACUCCAGACUUAUGACAAUAACUAUAGCUGUAUCUCAUUUUGAAAUCUUAUUUUGUUUACUUCAGCAUACCUCAUCUCAGAACUAGAAGCUGCCAGAAUGCUCUGUGUGAAUGCUCCUCCAAAAAAAGCUCAAGAAGGAGGCGGUAGUGAGGUCUUUCAAGAGUUGAAAGGCAUAUGUAUUGCUCUAGGAAUGUCCAAACCUCCAGCCAAUAUAACUAUGUUCCAAUUCUUCAGCGGGAUUGAAAAAAAAUUAAAGGAAACAUUAGCAAAAGUUCCACCUAAUCAUGUGGGAAAGCCUUUACUGAAGAAGCCAAUGGGACCAGCCCACUGGAGCCAGACAGAAAAAUUAGCCAAGGUUUACCAGCCGAAGCGUUCGGUCUUAUCCCCUAAAAGUACUAUUUCUGUUGCCCAUCUUUUGGCUGCAAGGCAGGACUUGUCAAAGAUUUUAAGGACAAGCAGCGGCUCUAUAAGAGAAAAGACUGCCUGUGCCAUCAAUAAGGUGUUGAUGGGCAGGGUGCCUGACAGAGGUGGUAGACCCAAUGAAAUCGAACCUCCACCCCCAGAGAUGCCCCCGUGGCAGAAGAGGCAAGAUGGCCCCCAGCAGCAAACAGGAGGCCGAGGAGGAGGGAGAGGUGGCUAUGAACAUUCCUCAUACGGAGGACGAGGAGGUCAUGAACAAGGAGGCGGGAGAGGUGGACGUGGUGGCUAUGACCAUGGUGGCCGAGGGGGAGGAAGAGGAAAUAAGCAUCAAGGAGGCUGGACAGAUGGAGGGAGUGGCGGAGGAGGUGGCUACCAAGAUGGUGGUUAUCGAGAUUCAGGUUUCCAGCCAGGUGGCUAUCAUGGUGGCCACAGCAGUGGUGGCUAUCAAGGCGGAGGUUAUGGUGGCUUCCAAACAUCUUCUUCAUAUACAGGAAGUGGAUACCAGGGUGGUGGCUACCAGCAGGACAAUAGAUACCAAGAUGGCGGGCACCAUGGUGAUCGUGGCGGUGGUCGUGGAGGGCGAGGUGGUCGUGGAGGCCGAGGUGGUCGCGCAGGCCAGGGAGGAGGCUGGGGAGGAAGAGGGAGCCAGAAUUAUCACCAAGGGGGUCAGUUUGAACAGCAUUUCCAGCAUGGAGGUUAUCAGUAUAAUCAUUCUGGAUUUGGACAGGGAAGACAUUAUACUAGUUGAGGCUACCGAACCUUACAUUUUGCUAGAGCUCAAGUAAUAGAAACUUAGUUUCAGAAUCCUGAAUUCAGCACCUAUUUUGAAUUAAUGUGAGACCACAGGUGGCAGGCAGAUUCCUGCUUGGCAUAAGCAUUUGUAGGUCUUCAUUCAAUUCUGUUAGAUUUUUUUAUUGGACUUACAUAAUGCCGUUUAUUUGAGAAACACAUAACAUCUCUCCUUUCUAUGAAAAAUUUUUUAAAAGGUGAUUAAAUUUGCCUUUAAUUGACCAGUAGACUAAUUCCACAGUCAGAACAUGCAUACUUUUUUGAAGAAAUUACUUGAAUAAGUAGUUUUCAUGUUUUCAAUAUGCAGUUUUGAAAAUGAGGAUUCACCUAGACUUUUUUAGAUUUACUACUAGGAAACCUUCCUCAUAUGAAUAACCAUUUAUAUGUGUUUUGCUUAAAGUAUUCCAAUGCCUAUUUUCCAAGCACAGUUCUGCCCCCCGGUUGACUUUUAUGCCACGUGUGCUUCAUGAUGGAACUUUUAGGUCAGUUCCUAUUAAAUGAGCUCUUCUGCAGAUAGCACAUUCAGUAGCCUUAUUUUGUUGAUGGAAUACUGUAUCAUAUGCUCAACUCUGAAAACCUUGAACACGGCCAAAAUCCAUAAAGAUUAUAAAAGCAAACUAAGUUGUGAACCUAUAGUACAUGUAGGCAUUUAGUUAAGUAUAGCAAUUCAAACUGACCUGCAUCCAUCCAAAACAAAUUCCUCCUUCAACCUUAUUUUUACUUGAAAUUUGCUAGAAGAAAUAGCAAACCGAAAUUUGUUUUAUGCAUGAGUUAAUACCACUGGCUCAGCAAAUACAAGUUAGUUUGCUUUAGGCAGGUAACUUUUUUUGUAAUGGAAGAAAUGCACUACAAAGUUAAGACAGAUUUUUGCUAAGUGCAGGAGGCCCUUUAUUAUUGCUGCAGAAAACAAAAGCCUGGCUGAGUUGAUGUUUUACAUUCUCCCUUACUGAAAUCUACAUGACGUGAUGCUUCUUGCUGGGUUUUUGUACAUGUAAACAUUGUCAAGCUGUGAAAGAUAAUGGCUGGAGGUGUGCUUUGUGUGAAAGGUGAGCAAUAAAAGUAUCUGUUAAGUUC